rnacentral:rRNA from 1 species
CAGGGAGCGGCGGACGGGUGAGUAACGCGUGGGAACGUGCCCUUCAGUUCAGAAUAGCCACUGGAAACGGUGAGUAAUACUGAAUACGCCCCUAGGGGGAAAGAUUUAUCGCUGAAGGAUCGGCCCGCGUUGGAUUAGCUUGUUGGUGGGGUAAUGGCCUACCAAGGCGACGAUCUAUAGCUGGUUUGAGAGGAUGAUCAGCCACACUGGGACUGAGACACGGCCCAGACUCCUACGGGAGGCAGCAGUGGGGAAUAUUGGACAAUGGGGGCAACCCUGAUCCAGCCAUGCCGCGUGAGUGAAGAAGGCCUUAGGGUUGUAAAGCUCUUUCAGGUGUGAGGAUGAGGACA